AGGACGAACGCUGGCGGCGUGCUUAACACAUGCAAGUCGAGCGGAAAGGCCCUUCGGGGUACUCGAGCGGCGAACGGGUGAGUAACACGUGGGCAACCUGCCCCUAGCUCUGGGAUAACUCCGGGAAACCGGGGCUAAUACCGGAUACGACCUCGGACGGCAUCUUCUGAGGUGGAAAGUUUUUUCGGCUAGGGAUGGGCCCGCGGCCUAUCAGCUUGUUGGUGGGUCACGGCCCACCAAGGCGACGACGGGUAG
rnacentral:rRNA from 1 species